CGAGGAUGCGAAGCCUCCAUCGUCAGCACCCUGGAGAGAGAGAGCUCCGGCCGCCCAGCUCUGCUCACAGGGCUCCCUGAUAUUUAAAACAACCACACAAGCUGCAGCCACAAAACACAAGACAGCUACUCACCGCCUCUGGUCGAGUGCUCAGACCUGGCGCCUUGGGGAGAGCCUCACAGCCACUUAGGAGCCUGAUUUGAGCCGCAUCAUGCCUGUGAGGUUCCCGCUGGCUGGACUCCCAGGCCUACCUCCACGGUAGGGCCGGUUUCUCAAGAUUUUGCCUGAAGUCGCUUGGCGCUUCCAGUAAUAUUUGUCCUGCCUACUUGUCCAGUCCGCCCGUCAGACUCCCGUUGCCUCGUUAGGACUCCUUCCUGAUCUGACUGCAAUCCUCCUUCCUCUCACAGGGAAAUGUGGAAAAGAGUUGCCUGUCUAAAUUUCCAUGAGAGUGUGGCUUCUGUCCUGGGUGGAGAUCGGGACCAUCUUGUUCACGGGAUCCUAGUAGGAGAUCUCCAGAGAAUUAAGCUGCUAGGAUCACAGAGUGAUCUUCUUCCUAACAAGAAAUCCCUAGCUCUUUCAAAAUAAAAAGGGACCCUGUUGUCUGAACUAGCAAUGUCUGGAGAUAUUUGGGGUCAUCACAACUGAAGCACGGGGUGCUACUGGCAUCCAGCAUGUAGAGGCCAGUGACACCAUCACACACCCCGAGGUGAACAGGAGAGUCCAGCACAAUGCAGAGGCAUCCUAACCAAACUGUCAAUAGUGUCGAGGCCAAGAGAGCCAGAUGUGGGCACGUGGCCUGCUGGAGGGCUGGCGUUGACGUUGCUUGUGCAGAGUGGCAGCAGCGAAAGCUGUCUGGGAGAAACUUGCUCUGAUUGAAAGCAAGAUGAAAAGACUGGAACAGGUAAGAACCGGUCAGAGAAGAUUUCACAAGUUGUAUCAGCAGAAGCCAAAGAAUUGGUAC
rnacentral:lncRNA from 1 species